rnacentral:rRNA from 1 species
GAUGAACGCUGGCGGCGUGCCUAAUACAUGCAAGUCGAGCGAACGGACGAUACGCUUGCUUCUCUGAUCUUAGCGGCGGACGGGUGAGUAACACGUGGAUAACCUACCUAUCAGACUGGGAUAACUUCGGGAAACUGGAGCUCAUACCGGAUGAUAUUUUGAUCCGCAUGGUUCAAAAGUGAAAGACGGACUUGCUGUCACUUAUAGCUGCAUCCGCGCUGCAUUAGCUAGUUGGUAAGGUAACGGCUUACCAAGGCAACGAUGCAUAGCCGACCUGAGAGGGUGAUCGGCCACACUGGAACUGGGACACGGUCCAGACUCCUACGGAAGGCAGCAGUAGGGAAUCUUCCGCAAUGAGCGAAGGCCUGACGGGGCAACGCCGCGUGAGUGAUGAAGGUCUUCGGAUCGUAAAACUCUGUUAUUAGGGAAGAACAUAUUUGUAAGUAACUGUGCACAUCUUGACGGUACCUAAUCAGAAAGCCACGGCUAACUACGUG